UCCCAUUUUGCCAUCAGCGCCAGGAAGCACUGCCUUACAUUUCUGCAUGCAGCUCAAACUCAGAAGCCCCCAAGCAAGCCGGGAUAUAGCCUCUUCAUUGGCUGAAGCUCCUCCGAGCAGGAUUUGCUGAGUUCUGGGGUACAUGUGAAGAACAUGCAAGAUUGUUGCAUAGGUACACACAUGGCUGAGUAAUACUCCUUUGUUUCUUCACCAGAAGGGAUAUCAGACUCUAAUCCCAUAAUGCCUCAGGGGAACCUGAGUGGUGGAAACAUUAAAUGGUAUGUCUGAUGAGAAGCUGUGCUUUACAUGAAUCAUUGACUAAAAAACGAACAGGAACAUAAAUUCUGAAGCAUGCAUGAAUGCUGAAAGCAUGAUGGGUUUCCCUUGAGCUGCCUUGGUGUCCUGUGCCCUGCAUUUCAAGACAGUCAACCACAUCUUAAACUCACAGUUGUGCAUCCAGAGGAAGAUGAGCAAUAGAAAAAUCUCCAGUGUAGGAUUCAAAAAUUUGCUUUCUGGUCUCUGUAAGACCUUGGGCAAGUUAAAGCUUAUUGCUAGCUGCCUUAAUCUCCUCAUAAAGAAAAAUAGGUCUACUCUCUAUAAUAUCUAUACUAUCUUUUUUGUUGGCAAUGUGGGAUUAUAAGACCAAUUCUAGUUAUCUUCUAUGGGUUAUAAGACAUAUAUGACUGAUACAUGUUAAAAGAAAAGUCUUAUGUAUUUGUAAUGGAUUGUUUUGAAUGAGCUUUUUUAUUCUCUAAAAAGAUCCAUUAUUUUUGUAUUAGUGGUGAUGUUGAUUUUUUUGGUUGGUUGGCAUUUAUUAGUUACUGAAGGCUAUAUUCAUUCAAUAAAUAUUUAUUAAGCCCCUGCUU